rnacentral:tRNA from 1 species
GCGCCCAUCGUCUAGCGAGUUAGGACAGCGCCCUUUCACGGCGCAGACAGGGGUUCGAUUCCCCUUGGGCGUACCA